UACGUAGGGGCGAGCGUUGUCCGGAUUUACUGGGCGUAAAGCGCGUGUAGGCGGGGAGGUGCCUCGGAUGUGAAAGGCUCCGGCUCAACCGGAGACGGCCGUUCGAAAAGGCCUCUCUUGAGGGUCUCAGAGGAGAGUGGAAUUCCCGGUGUAGCGGUGAAAUGCGCAGAUAUCGGGAGGAACACCGAUGGCGAAGGCAGCUCGCUGGGACGGUACUGACGCUGAGACGCGAAAGCGUGGGGAGCAAACAGGAUUAGAAACCCCGAGUA
rnacentral:rRNA from 1 species